rnacentral:misc_RNA from 1 species
GAUGAAGAACGUAGCGAAAUGCGAUAAGUAAUGUGAAUUGCAGAAUUCAGUGAAUCAUCGAAUCUUUGAACGCACAUUGCGCCCGUCAGUAUUCUGGCGGGCAUGCCUGUUCGAGCGUCAUUACGCCCCUCAAGUCCCCUGUGGACUUGGUGUUGGGGAUCGGCGAGGCUGGUUUUCCAGCACAGCCGUCCCUUAAAUUAAUUGGCGGUCUCGCCGUGGCCCUCCUCUGCGCAGUAGUAAAACACUCGCAACAGGAGCCCGGCGCGGUCCACUGCCGUAAAACCCCCCAACUUUUUAUAGUUGACCUCGAAUCAGGUAGGACUACCCGCUGAACUUAAGCAUAUCGAUAAGCGGAGGA